rnacentral:tRNA from 1 species
GCCCUUGUAGCUCAGUGGAUGCAGAGCGCUUCGCUACGAACGAAGAGGCCGGAGGUUCGAGUCCUUCCAAGGGUG